rnacentral:rRNA from 1 species
UACGGAGGGGGCUAGCGUUGUUCGGAAUUACUGGGCGUAAAGCGCACGUAGGCGGAUUUGUAAGUCAGGGGUGAAAUCCCGGGGCUCAACCCCGGAAUUGCCUUUAAGACUGCAUCGCUUGAAUCCGGGAGAGGUGAGUGGAAUUCCGAGUGUAGAGGUGAAAUUCGUAGAUAUUCGGAAGAACACCAGUGGCGAAGGCGGCUCACUGGACCGGUAUUGACGCUGAGGUGCGAAAGCGUGGGGAGCAAACAGG